rnacentral:misc_RNA from 1 species
UCAGUCAACGGUAAAUCGAAUUAAAGGGACUUACUGCUUUAGCAGUUAGUCCCUUUUUGAGGCUUUAAGGAGUUGAUUGACUUACUAGA